GAUGAACGCUGGCGGCGUGCCUAAUACAUGCAAGUCGAGCGAACGGACGAGAAGCUUGCUUCUCUGAUGUUAGCGGCGGACGGGUGAGUAACACGUGGAUAACCUACCUAUAAGACUGGGAUAACUUCGGGAAGCCGUAGCUAAUACCGGAUAAUAUUUUGAACCGCAUGGUUCAAAAGUGAAAGACGGUCUUGCUGUCACUUAUAGAUGGAUCCGCGCUGCAUUAGCUAGUUGGUAAGGUAACGGCUUACCAAGGCAACGAUGCAUAGCCGACCUGAGAGGGUGAUCGGCCACACUGGAACUGAGACACGGUCCAGACUCCUACGGGAGGCGGCAGUAGGGAAUCUUCCGCAAUGGGCGAAAGCCUGACGGAGCAACGCCGCGUGAGUGAUGAAGGUCUUCGGAUCGUAAAACUCUGUUAUUAGGUAAGAACAUAUGUGUAAGUAACUGUGCACAUCUUGACGGUACCUAAUCAGAAAGCCACGGCUAACUACGUG
rnacentral:rRNA from 1 species